AUUGAACGCUGGCGGCAGGCCUAACACAUGCAAGUCGAACGAGUGGCGGCCGGGUGAGUAAUGUCUGGGAAACUGCCCGAUGGAGGGGGAUAACUACUGUAAACGGUAGCUAAUACCGCAUACCAUCUGAUGUGCCCCUAUGGGAUUAGCUAGUAGGUGGGGUAACGGCUCACCUAGGCGACGAUCCCUAGCUGGUCUGCGAGGAUGACCAGGCACAAUGGAACUGAGACACGGGCCAGACUCCGAAGGGAGGCAGGAGUGGGGAAGAUUGCACAAUGGGAGCAAGACUGAUGCAGCUAUGCCGCGUGUAUGAAGAAGGCCUUCGGGUUGUAAAGGACUGUCAGCGAGGAGGCGUUACUCGCAGAAGAAGCACCGGCUAACUCCGUGCCAGCAGCCGCGGUAAUAC
rnacentral:rRNA from 1 species